rnacentral:misc_RNA from 1 species
AGCAGCCGCGGUAAUUCCAGCUCCAAUAGCGUAUAUUAAAGUUGUUGCAGUUAAAAAGCUCGUAGUUGAAUUUCGGGAUCAGUACGCCGGUCGUGCCUUCGGUAUGCACUGGUGUCACUGGUUUCUCCCUUCUGAAGAACCAUCAUGCCAUUAAGUUGGUGUGGCGGGAAAUCAGGACUGUUACUUUGAAAAAUUAGAGUGUUUAAAGCAGGCUCGCGCUUGAAUACAUUAGCAUGGAAUAAUGAAAUAGGACGUUUGACCCUAUUUUGUUGGUUUCUAGGAUCGACGUAAUGAUUAAUAGGGAUAGUUGGGGGCAUUAGUAUUCAAUUGUCAGAGGUGAAAUUCUUGGAUUUAUUGAAGACUAACUACUGCGAAAGCAUUUGCCAAGGAUGUUUUCAUUAAUCAAGAACGAAAGUUAGGGGAUCGAAGACGAUCAGAUACCGUCGUAGUCUUAACCAUAAACUAUGCCGACUAGGGAUCGGAUGAUGUUAAUUUUUAAUGACUCAUUCGG